rnacentral:rRNA from 1 species
GACGAACCGUGCGAACGUUGUUCGGAAUCACUGGGCUUAAAGGGCGCGUAGGCGGGCAUGCAAGUCAGAGGUGAAAGCCCCCGGCUCAACCGGGGAAGUGCCUUUGAUACUGUGUGUCUCGAGGGGGAUAGGGGCGUGCGGAACUUCCGGUGGAGCGGUGAAAUGCGUAGAUAUCGGAAGGAACACCGGUGGCGAAAGCGGCGCGCUGGAUCCCUUCUGACGCUGAGGCGCGAAAGCCAGGGGAGCGAACGGG